rnacentral:rRNA from 1 species
GACGAACGCUGGCGGCGUGCCUAAUACAUGCAAGUCGAACGCAGUGGGGACGGGUGAGUAGCACGUGGGUAACCUCCCAUCAGAGGGGAUAAAACGUGGAGACAAGUGCUAAACCGCUACUGGUGGAUGGAGCCGCGGUGCAUUAGCUAGGUGGUGAGGUAACGGCUCACCAAGGCCACGAUGCAUAGCCGACCGGAGAGGGUGAUCGGCCACACUGGGACUGAGACACGGCCCAGACUCCUACGGGAGGCAGCAGUAGGGAAUCUUCGGCAAUGGACGAAAGUCUGACCGAGCAAUGCCGCGUGAGUGAAGAAGGUUUUCGGAUCGUAAAACUCUGUUGUUAGAGAAGCGGUAUCUAACCAGAAAGCCACGGCUAACUACGUGCCAGCAGCCGCGGUAAUAC